GACGAACGCUGGCGGCGUGCUUAACACAUGCAAGUCGAACGGAAAGGCCCUGCUUUUGUGGGGUGCUCGAGUGGCGAACGGGUGAGUAACACGUGAGUAACCUGCCCUUGACUUUGGGAUAACUUCAGGAAACUGGGGCUAAUACCGGAUAGGAGCUCCUGCUGCAUGGUGGGGGUUGGAAAGUUUCGGCGGUUGGGGAUGGACUCGCGGCUUAUCAGCUUGUUGGUGGGGUAGUGGCUUACCAAGGCUUUGACGGGUAGCCGGCCUGAGAGGGUGACCGGCCACAUGGGGAUGGAGAAACGCCCAGGACGCGGACGGGGGGCAGGGGGGGGAAAUAUAGCACAAGGGGCGGAGGCUGGGCGCAGCACCGCCGGGGGGGGGAGGGCGGCUUUCGGGGUGGAACCCGCUUCCACGUGGGACGAAGGGGGAGGGAGGGAAAGGGGAAAAGAAGCACCGGCUACCAAGUU
rnacentral:rRNA from 1 species